rnacentral:tRNA from 1 species
UAGACCAAAGAGCAGUAAUACCCAUCAUCUGAUUUGCACUCAGAAUUUUAUUUUGGCCU